UAUGUUUCUUCUAGUCUCCUUUUUUUUCUCUUACUCAAGAAUGUGACAUGCUUAUAGGUUUAAAAAAUGUCAAUUUAGCAUAAUCAAACUUCCAAAUUUAUCUCUUAAUAUGUCUCAAUCUUUGAUAAACUAAAGUAUAAUGUUGAUGCAAUGAGAGAACUUGUUUAAAAGGGUACUGGAUAUGUCAAGGAAUAACAAGAAAAGGAGAUCCAUGCCUUGGGUGUUAAAUUGUUUACUAUACUUGUUGACU
rnacentral:lncRNA from 1 species